rnacentral:lncRNA from 1 species
UUUUAUUUGUUCAAAUAUAUUAAUAUCAAAUAUUACUUUUUGUUCUGUAGAUUCUUCAUUUGUAUAUUCUUCUUUCUUUAUUAUUUGUACGUCUUUUUCAGUCAUCGAUAUUCUCUUCUAUUUCAAUUUCAGAUAUUUCAUUUUCAAGUGACUCAAAUUCAUAUAUACUAUCAUCACUUUCUAGUUCAUAAUCUAUGUAAUCUAUUUGGGUAUAUUCUUCAUCAUUAAUUAUUAUUUCAGAUAUUUGUUUUUUCUUUGGAUUCUUAGGUAGUUUACAAUCUUUAGCUAAAUGUCCUAGUUUUCCACAAUUAUAACAUGUACAUUCU